CCUACGGGUGGCAGCAGUGAGGAAUAUUGGGCAAUGGGCGCGAGCCUGAACCAGCCAAGUAGCGUGAAGGAUGACUGCCCUACGGGUUGUAAACUUCUUUUAUAAAGGAAUAAAGUGAGGCGCGUGUGCCUUUUUGUAUGUACUUUAUGAAUAAGGAUCGGCUAACUCCGUGCCAGCAGCCGAGGUAAUACGGAGGAUCCGAGCGUUAUCCGGAUUUAUUGGGGUUAAAGGGAGCGUAGAUGGGUUGGUAAGUCAGUUGUGAAAGUUUGCGGCUCAACCGUAAAAUUGCAUGUGAUACUGGCAGCCUUGAGUACAGUUGAGGUAGGCGGAAUGCGUGGUGUAGUGGUGAAAUGCUUAGAUAUCACGAAGAACACCGAUUGCGAAGGCAGCCUACUAAACUGCCACUGACAUUGAUGCUCGAAAGUGUGGGUAGCAAACAGGAUUAGAUACCCGAGUAGUC
rnacentral:rRNA from 1 species